rnacentral:lncRNA from 1 species
AAACUAAAUCUUUUGUUCACCAGCUGCUCAGCUUUUCAGUCUGGGUCUGAGCUGAAACCUGCUGCAAGUCUGACGGUACCAAAUUACAUAUAUAUCUGUCAAAAUGAUGUAGGACCUAAAGUCUCUCUGUAAGUUGAUCCUUUUGACCCCAUGAUUAGGAGCUUCACAAUGUGGUACCACACCUGGAAACCUCCAGAACAAGAUCUCAAGGAAACACAGGAAAUUCCUGAAACAGCAAAACCCCCUAUGUGAAGACGUCUGUUAUUCCUUUGUGUAUCAGGAGCAUCACUGUUAAUUAACUGUUGAUACACUUAAAACAGCUUGGUUGGCAAUGUCCUUUUUGAAUAAAGAAGAGCCAGGUGUGUUUUUCAGGAUGAACUAGACAAUGCUGUCACAAGUUUACCUCUACAUCUUAUUGCCUUGGAAAAAUUUCCUGCAUAUCGUGGCACAAGAUGGUUGGCUCUCCAGGCAGCAGUUGGCGUUGUGAAUCAGUCAUCUCAGCAUGUGUCUCCAAGAUCCCACAGCAGGGGGAAAAAGAGGUGGAGGGUCACAUGCCUGGUGUUACAUACUUUGAGGCAGAGGUGGUAGGUGCCAUUUCUGCUCACAGCUCAUGGACCAGAACAAAGCCAUGCAUACCUGAGAGAGGACCAGAAAAUAUUCUGAAGCAGAUGGCUAUUUGGUGAGCAGUAAAUGUUUC